GCUACUUCAGAAGAGAGACUGGAUUGUUAGUCCAUCCGCAAGCCUGGCAGAAAGUGAUGAGUAUAUGGAACUUUGGAUCCAUAGGAUGAGGAUUGUGGAGUUGAGGCUUUGGCUUUCUGGAAUAUUAAGGAUUCAAGUGGCUCUGGUAUCACUUGAAAGGUAAACCAUCGGCUCUCUUCAUUUCGGUUUAGUCUGCACAGAGAUCUGGAUACAAACUAUAUCUUUAGGGUCAUGUACAGCGGUUGUUCUGUCCAGUUAGAGGUUUGUUAUUGAAACAAAUCUAAUUUCACAAUAAUCACAAACAAAAUUACAAUUUGUAAUGUUUUAUCUUUUUUACUAUGUUUUGUACUAAACCUGCUGGAGAGAGUAAAUGGAUUUGGAGGCAGGACUCAGCGGUUUACGAUGAAGUGUCCCGCUGUGCUAUCACCUCCCAAUAGAGAGUACAUCAAGUGUGACUCAGAAUUCAUUCAGGUCACCAGAGAGAUUCCAAUGGAUAACUGGAAUAAUGAGCUGGACUUGUCUUUGAGAGGGAGUCUCGUGGUGGCUUUAGGGGACUCCAGUUUGAUUCAAGGUUUUCGAAUCGGAGGUCCAAUUCUUCCCACUCACAGUGGUCAGCGGUCAAUAUGCCUACACCAUGGAGGCAACCUGUCCCAAUGUGAAUCAGUCCACAUCUAACAACACAGUGCUGCACAUCUAUAAACGGCGCAUGGGUCUGACCAAGAGAGGGGGAAAUGAGACUGAGAGCCUCUCCAUCAGCAGUGUGACCGUGAAACAGACAGAAUCAUUCAGCUGGUCAGAGACAACUGCUUUUGUGCAGCUUAUCAUUCCUACAUCUCAUAUUCAAAAGCCAAAGGAAUGCAUUUCUCAGGAGGGUGAAAACUUCUGCAAACUUUCUACAAGAUAGAUGCUGUUCUUACCUUUAAAGAGACAAAUCACAAAAUGCACUGGACCUUGGAAAGCACCUCACGAUGCUCAGACGAGAAUUUGGCUGAAAUGGCAAAUAAUUGAUUAAAGUCUUCUGUCUAUUAGUUAUACGUAACCAGCUAAAUUAUAUGAUUGUUUUUCACACAUGUUAGGUACUGUCCCGGUGACAAAAUCAAACCCACAAGGAGGUACUAACUUUCAAAGUGCCCAAAACAACACAUUCUUCAGCGGACAUCACAGACUAUCCUGACAUUUCUUCCAUUAAAGAUUCUAUUGCUUCCAUACAAACACACACGACACCUUUAACACCAAAGAGUAUAUAACCUCUGUACCUAGGAAACAAGACUCAUUACAUCAUAUCUUAUUUCACCAUCAAUAUAUAUGAGAACGAGAAAUGUUUACAGUUACACCAAAAGCAGAAUAGAGAUGUCAGUUGUGAUCUUUAUCUGUUUUGCUUCAUAUAAAAAGUGCUGAUUACAUCUAAGAAAUGAAUGAUUUACAGCAUAAACAAAGCGGUAUACAGUUUCACUACAGUUUAACUCGCUAUUCAUUUCACUUCCCCGAAAGAAAUGCUUUAACUUAAGAGAUGCUUGACAGACAGUUGCAGGUUAAUACUCUGCUCAGUGUUUUCUCAAGCUUAUUGUAUAAUAGCAUCUGUAAACAUUAAUACUAUGAUAUAUCAUUAUUUAAUAGUAAGAAGAAAUGUACGA